rnacentral:rRNA from 1 species
GAUGAAUGCCUUGGCAUCAGCAGGCGAUGAAGGACGUGAUAAGCUGCGAAAAGCAUCGGGGAGCGGCAAAUACGCGUUGAUCCGGUGAUGUCCGAAUGGGGAAACCCGGCCCGAGUCAUAUCGGGCCACCUGAUUGUGAAUUCAUAGCAGUCAGGAGCCAAACCCGGCGAAGUGAAACAUCUCAGUAACCGGAGGAAAAGAAAGCAACCGCGAUUCUCCUAGUAGUGGCGAGCGAACGGGGAACAGCCUAAAACCUGGGUUUCGAUCCAGGGGUCGCGGGACCACAAUGUGGCAUCUGAAUCGGUAGCGGAAUGUCUUGGAAAAUUCAACCAAAGAAGGUGACAGUCCUGUACGCGAAACCGAAACAGAGCCUAGUGAGUUCCCAAGUAAGACAGGUCACGUGAAACCCUGUCUGAAUCCGGAGGGCCCACCCUCCAAGGCUAAAUACUUGCUGAUGACCGAUGU